UACGUAGGGUGCGAGCGUUAAUCGGAAUUACUGGGCGUAAAGCGUGCGCAGGCGGUUUUGUAAGCCAGAUGUGAAAUCCCCGGGCUUAACCUGGGAAUGGCAUUUGGGACUGCAAGGCUUGAGUGCGGCAGAGGAGACUGGAAUUCCUGGUGUAGCAGUGAAAUGCGUAGAUAUCACGAGGAAUACCGAUGGCGAAGGCAGGUCUCUGGGCUGACACUGACGCUCAUGCACGAAAGCGUGGGUAGCAAACAGG
rnacentral:rRNA from 1 species